rnacentral:lncRNA from 1 species
UCGGCUACCACUACUUAGGUGAGUCCUUGGUCUCUCCUUUCUCCUCUGUCUGUUCUGGGAUCUAGCCUUCGUGCUAUGGCCAUACUGUGCAGUCAUCUCAUUGCAUAUCUGGUAGUUUCAAACAUCGUGCAGUAUGUGCCAAUUUCUUCCGCCUCAAUUUUUUUUGGCAUGAAAGAAUAAUUUGAUAGCUUUGAUUCAUUUUAUCAAUUAGACCUCUGUUGUCAAAUAGAACAAUGUGCACUUAGUUAAAUUUCUAAUAUUGCUGCUUCCCUUUUGAUUUAGGAUAUUUUUGGGACCAUUGAGUUUAUAUGAUCUUUUGACUGUCUGGCGCAGUGGGGAGGAUCUGCCCACUUGUGCCAAGAGGUCAUGGGUUCGACACAGUCCCUCUGCAUUGCACUGUGCAGGGGUAAGGCUUGCUUCAUAUGACUCCAUUGGCGUAGGGCGGCCGGAAUUGGGCGCGACGGCAGCUGUGGGGUGAAGUUUCACUUUGGGUGUUGGGGUUCCCGCCGCAGCCCUUUUGGUUUUCGGGCAGCUGUUAGUGGUGAUGUGUAAUUUGCAUCACCUGUAGCAAUUUUUUGGGCACGACCUAAAUUUUUUUGGGCACCAUAUAUACCUGUAGUGCUGCUGUUGGAGGCGUUUUAUUUGACCCCCACCCCAAGUGACCUAAAAAGCAUUUUUUUGGGCACAGCUGCAUUUUUAGGGCUGCUGUUGGGGAUGCUCAUGUAGUUAUCACGCAGUGUUCAGACUCUGCAUUCUAUGACGGUCACCCUGUAUUGACACCAUUUGAUUAAUCUUAUGUUACCUUGGUCUGCUUGUAUGAAGUGCCAUUUAUUUAUCUUUGAGCAAUCUGCUAUUGGUGUUAGCAAAGCCGUAUUUGUUUGUAAUCUGGCAAUGGUUUAUAGGUCUCGUUUACUUGAUAGCAAAUUCACAAUGGUUCAACUGAAUCUUGAUUUAUCUACAUUUUUUUUAAGUUUUUGGUUAGCUGCAACUCACGGGUCCUUGUCAGUCUGUUACAUAAUCUAAAGACUAAAGAGCCAUGGACUUUUUCCACUUAUUUAGUCAGCACCUUUGUUCUGCAUUUUGUUCACUAGAGAGAUCUGAUUCGGCUGUUUGAAUAUUACAGGAGAGCAUAACAACAACAACAACAAAGCCUUUAGUCCCAAACAAGUUGGGGUAGGCUAGAGGUGAAACCCAUAAGAUCUCGCAACCAACUCAUGGCUCUGGCACAUGGAUAGCAAGCUUCCACGCACCCCUGUCCAUAGCUAGCUCUUUGGUGAUACUCCAAUCCUUCAGGUCUCUCUUAACGGACUCCUCCCAUGUCAAAUUCGGUCUACCCCGCCCUCUCUUGACAUUCUCUGCACGCUUUAGCCGUCCGCUAUGCACUGGAGCUUCUGGAGGCCUGCGCUGAAUAUGCCCAAACCAUCUCAGACGAUGUUGGACAAGCUUCUCCUCAAUUGGUGCUACCCCAACUCUAUCUCGUAUAUCAUCAUUCCGGACUCGAUUCUUCCUCGUGUGGCCACACAUCCAUCUCAACAUACGCAUCUCCGCCACACCUAACUGUUGAACAUGUCGCCUUUUAGUCGGCCAACACUCCGCGCCAUACAACAUUGCGGGUCGAACCGCCGUCCUGUAGAACUUGCCUUUUAGCUUUUGUGGCACUCUCUUGUCACAGAGAAUGCCAGAAGCUUGGCGCCACUUCAUCCAUCCGGCUUUGAUUUGAUGGUUCACAUCUUCAUCAAUACCCCCAUCCUCCUGCAACAUUGACCCCAAAUACCGAAAGGUGUCCUUCCGAGGUACCACCUGGCCAUCAAGGCUAACCUCCUCCUCCUCACACCUAGUAGUACUGAAACCGCACAUCAUGUACUCGGUUUUAGUUCUACUAAGCCUAAACCCUUUCGAUUCCAAGGUUUGUCUCCAUAACUCUAACUUCCUAUUUACCCCCGUCCGACUAUCGUCAACUAGCACCACAUCAUCCGCAAAGAGCAUACACAAUGGGAUAUCUCCUUGUAUAUCCCUUGUGACCUCAUCCAUCACCAAUGCAAAAAGAUAAGGGCUCAAAGCUGACCCCUGAUGCAGUCCUAUCUUAAUCGGGAAGUCAUCGGUGUCGACAUCACUUGUUCGAACACUUGUCACAACAUUAUCGUACAUGUCCUUGAUGAUGGUAAUGUACUUUGCUGGGACUUUGUGUUUCUCCAAGGCCCACCACAUGACAUUCCGCGGUAUCUUAUCAUAGGCCUCCUCCAAGUCAAUGAACACCAUAUGCAAGUCCUUCUUUUGCUCCCUAUAUCUCUCCAUAAGUUGUCGUACCAAGAAAAUGGCUUCCAUGGUCGACCUCCCAGGCAUGAAACCAAACUGAUUUUUGGUCACGCUUGUCAUUCUUCUUAAGCGGUGCUCAAUGACUCUCUCCCAUAGCUUCAUUGUAUGGCUCAUCAGCUUAAUUCCACGGUAAUUAGUACAACUCUGAACAUCCCCCUUGUUCUUGAAGAUUGGUACUAAUAUACUCCGUCUCCAUUCUUCUGGCAUCUUGUUUGCCCGAAAAAUGAGGUUGAAAAGCUUGGUUAGCCAUACUAUUGCUAUGUCCCCGAGACCUUUCCACACCUCAAUGGGGAUACAAUCAGGGCCCAUCGCCUUGCCUCCUUUCAUCCUUUUUAAAGCCUCCUUCACCUUAGACUCCUGGAUUCGCCGCACAAAACGCAUGCUGGUCUCAUCAAAGGAGUCGUCUAGUUCAAUGGUAGAACUCUCAUUCUCCCCAUUGAACAGCUUGUCGAAGUACUCCCGCCAUCUAUGCUUAAUCUCCUCGUCCUUCACCAAGAGUUGGCCUGCUCCGUCCUUGAUGCAUUUGACUUGGCCAAUGUCCCUCGUCUUCCUCUCUCGGAUCUUGGCCAUCUUAGAGAUGUCCCUUUCACCUUCCUUCGUGCCUAACCGUUGGUAGAGGUCCUCAUAUGGCCGACCCCUUGCUUCACCAACAGCUCGCUUUGCGGCCUUCUUCGCCAUCUUGUACUUCUCUAUGUUGUCUGCACUCCUAUCCAGGUAUAGGCGUCUGAAGCAAUCUUUCUUCUCUUUAAUCGCCUUCUGGACGUCAUCAUUCCACCACCAGGUAUCCUUAUCUUCGCUUCUCCUUCCCCUGGACACUCCAAACUCCUCCGAGGCCACCUUACGAAUGCAAGUCGCCAUCUUCAUCCACACAUUGUCCGCAUCCACUCCUUCCUCCCAAGGGCCCUCCUUAAUGACCCUCUCCUUGAACACCUGAGCUACCUCCCCCUUGAGCUUCCACCACUUCGUUCUAGCGACUUUGGCACGCUUAUUCCGCUGGACACGAAUCCGAAAGCGGAAGUCAGCAACCACCAGCUUAUGCUGGGGUACAACACUCUCUCCAGGUAUCACCUUACAGUCUAGGCACGCACGCAUAUCUUCUCUUCUCGAGAGGAUGAGAUCAAUCUGGCUAGAGUGUUGGCCACUACUAAAAGUCACCAGAUGUGAUUCUCUCUUUCUAAAGAGGGUGUUAGCUACAAUCAUGUUGUAGGCUAGAGCAAAGCUUAAGACAUCUUCUCCUUCUUGAUUCCUGAUGCCAUGGCCAAAGCCCCCAUGCGCCCUUCAAAACCUGUGUUAGAUGUACCCACGUGGCCAUUGAGGUCUCCUCCUAUGAAGAGCUUCUCACCAAUCGGUACACUCCUAACCAUGUCUUCCAGGCCUUCCCAGAACUCCCUCUUGGUGUUCUCAUUGUGGCCUACUUGCGGGGCAUACGCGCUGAUAACAUUGAGAACCAAGUCCUCAACUACCAGCUUGACCAAGAUAAUCCGGUCCCCACGUCUCUUGACGUCUACCACUCCAUACUUGAGGCUCUUGUUGAUCAAGAUGCCUACGCCAUUUCUGUUUGCAGUCGUCCCCGUGUACCACAACUUGAAGCCGGUAUCCUCCACCUCCUUCGCCUUCUGUCCUCUCCAUUUGGUUUCUUGGACGCAAAGGAUAUCAACACCUCUCCUCACCGCUGCAUCAACUAGCUCCCGAAGCUUCCCUAUCAGAGACCCUACGUUCCAGCUACCUAAGCGAAUCCUCCUAGGCUCGGCUAGCUUCCUUACCCUUCGCAUCCGUCGAGUCAAAUGCGAAGACCCUUGCUCAUUUUCCACUACACCCGGGCGCCGAUGUAGCGCGCCACUAAGGAUGCGAUGACCCGAUCCUCGCUCACUUGCCACCGUAUCCGGAUCAAGAUACGGCGCGCCACUUGGGGGGUGACGGCCCGGCCCUUGCCCACUUUCCACCACACCCGGGUUCCGAUGUGGCGCGUCGCUGAGAGGGUUACGCCCCAACGAAAAUCUUUUGGGUUUCAUCUCCAUAAGAGUGGCUGAGUUUUUACGUUGGCUCGCCAAGCCUAUCACAACCCUCCUCCUUUACCCGGGCUUGGGACCGGCUAUGUUGAGACAACAACUACAGGAGAGCAUAGGUAAAGAAAAUAAAAUACUCUGGAACACAAUGACUUUCAUAUUGCAUUUUUGUCCGUAUGACCUGACUGGCUUUCUUUUUUCCUCCACACCCUUAUGUUGCUUUGUGUGCCCAUGGCCAUCACGCCGAUGCAAUUUCUAGGAUUUGGUUUGUGGUUGGUCAUCUGAUCAUGGCUUCCUCUACUACGUAGGGAUAUGAUGCCUGUGCUCAGUUUGUGUAGAGACUGAGUGCGUGUCUGUUUUGAUCUUCCGAUGGUUGCUAUGCUUGUCCCGGUUAAUAUGAGUUGCUGAUAUAAAAUGCUCAGUGGUGAAAGUAACUGUUAAUCUUUUGCUGGCUGCCAUUUUGAAAUAAAAUGCAGUGCAGGUACUUUCAUGGUGUUAACUUUUAGAGAGAGAAGACAUGGUCGAAUGCAGUGCAAAAUUAAUGUUGCUUUGGCACGAUUGUCCUUUACGUGUUGCUUCCUCUGUUCUUUGUGAUACCUUUUUUUAUACUAACCUUGUGAUGCUUUCUAGUAACCUUAUUUCUUGGCCAUUAAUCAAUAUUGUUUGGCCUGACUUGAUGUUGAUGGUGAAGAAGGUGAAGAAAUCUGUGCUGGAGGGGAUGGUGGAUCCGCAACCACCGAGGAAGGUCGUUUAACUGCAGAAGUUCGAUCUUCCAGAGGCCAGGGCGAUCCCGGGCGGCAUGCACCAUCCGGUGGUGCCCCGGCAGAUGAUUGACCUAUGGAGCUUAUAGUGCCGUUUGGUCUAUUGGAAGUCCGGUGGUACUGGUUUCCUUUAUAUUUCCCACUUCUGUAUUUCUGAGCUUGCCAUUGUGUGUUUCUGCUGAAUGUGAGUGGUGUUGUUCCGGUUGUGUGGAUCAGCUCCGGCGAGAACCUGAUGGGUUCUUUUGCUGGGUUUGUAAAAGUGCUUGUCUAUUUGAAACGCAUGCUACCAAGCCCAAGUUGAAACGAAACCGAUGUAGGUUUCUGCUGGUCUCAUGCUUGAGUUCCAUAAAAGCCUCUCCUGGCCGCCGCGGCCAAGGCUGCUCCGGUGGCUGCAAGGAUUAAUGACUCAGGGCUGUUCCAUAG